rnacentral:rRNA from 1 species
UACGAAGGUGGCAAGCGUUACUCGGAAUUACUAGGCGUAAAGGGCAUGUAGGUGGUUUGGUUAGUCUGUUGUGAAAGCUCCUUGCUUAACGGGGAGAGGCCAACAGAUACUGCCAGGCUUGAGUAUAGGAGAGGGUACUGGAAUUCCCGGUGUAGCGGUGAAAUGCGCAGAGAUCGGGAGGAACACCAAUGGCGAAAGCAGGUACCUGGACUAUUACUGACACUAAGCUGCGAAAGCUAGGGGAGCAAACAGG